rnacentral:rRNA from 1 species
GACGAACGCUGGCGGCGUGCUUAACACAUGCAAGUCGAACGGAAAGGCACUGCGUUUGUGGUGUUCUCGAGUGGCGGACGGGGGCGUAACACGUGAGUAACCUGCCCUUGUCUUUGGGAUAACUUCAGGAAACUGGGGCUAAUACCGUAUAGGAGCUCCUGCUGCAUGGUGGGGGUUGGAAAGUUUCGGCGGUUGGGGCUGGACGGACGGCUUAUUAGCUAGUUGGUGGGGUAGUGGCCCACCAAGGCGACGAUGCGUAGCUGGCCUGAGAGGAUGAUCGGCCACACUGGAACUGAGACACGGUCCAGACUCCUACGGGAGGCAGCAGUGGGGAAUAUUGGACAAUGGGCGCAAGCCUGAUCCAGCCAUACCGCGUGGGUGAAGAAGGCCUUCGGGUUGUAAAGCCCUUUUGUUGGGAAAGAAAAGCAGCAGGUUAAUACCCCGCUGUUCUGACGGUACCCAAAGAAUAAGCACCGGCUAACUUCGUG